AGUGAACGCUGGCGGUAGGCCUAACACAUGCAAGUCGAACGGCAGCACAGUAAGAGCUUGCUCUUACGGGUGGCGAGUGGCGGACGGGUGAGGAAUACAUCGGAAUCUACUUUUUCGUGGGGGAUAACGUAGGGAAACUUACGCUAAUACCGCAUACGACCUACGGGUGAAAGCAGGGGAUCUUCGGACCUUGCGCGAUUGAAUGAGCCGAUGUCGGAUUAGCUAGUUGGCGGGGUAAAGGCCCACCAAGGCGACGAUCCGUAGCUGGUCUGAGAGGAUGAUCCGCCACACUGGAACUGAGACACGGUCAAGACUCCUACGGGAGGCAGCAGUGGGGAAUAUUGGACAAUGGGCGCAAGCCUGAUCCAGCCAUACCGCGUGGGUGAAGAAGGCCUUCGGGUUGUAAAGCCCUUUUGUUGGGAAAGAAAAGCAGCAGGUUAAUACCCCGCUGUUCUGACGGUACCCAAAGAAUAAGCACCGGCUAACUUCGUG
rnacentral:rRNA from 1 species